rnacentral:misc_RNA from 1 species
GAUGAAGAACGUAGUGAAAUGCGAUAAGUAAUGUGAAUUGCAGAAUUCAGUGAAUCAUCGAAUCUUUGAACGCACAUUGCGCCCCCUGGUAUUCCGGGGGGCAUGCCUGUUCGAGCGUCAUUUCACCACUCAAGCCUCGCUUGGUAUUGGGCAACGCGGUCCGCCGCGUGCCUCAAAUCGACCGGCUGGGUCUUCUGUCCCCUAAGCGUUGUGGAAACUAUUCGCUAAAGGGUGUUCGGGAGGCUACGCCGUAAAACAACCCCAUUUCUAAGGUUGACCUCGGAUCAGGUAGGGAUACCCGCUGAACUUAAGCAUAUCAAUAAGUGGAGGA